GUGGAAGCAGAGCAAAAGUGUCGGGCAAGAUCAAGAGGAAGAAGUAGUUUUUCCUCCGGUGCUGCAGGUAGCUUGGGUCUACUCACUGUCAGACGCCUUAUCACCUAAGAAGGGCUCCUGCUCCAUCAUGUCCAUGGGGAUUUUAAUGCUGGGAACAUUCUCAUUGUAAGGAUAGUCAGACUGUUGGAGAGAGGAAACACACAUCCUGAGACCGGACUACUGGUGGUGUCGGGAAUACAAUAGCAGCCACAGUGGACUUGAGGACCCAGAGCAGAGCCAAGCAUAGGAUCUGGAUGAAGGUGAAGAGGUGAACCUUCCUGAGAGGAACGUGUCGCAGAAACUUCGGCUGCUCUCCGGGAGCCGAUGUUUCGGUUUCCAUCUUCAGACUGUCGAUGUGCGCAAUGGAGAUAACGGUGGCAGCCACGUACCAUGGCAGACCCAUGAAGGAGCAAAUCACCAUCAGAACGGCCACCCAGAACAGAUCCAGAUGGUAACCUGCUCCUUUCUGUUUCAGACAACAAACUCAAGGUUAAAGGUCAUGUAUGUGCAUGCUCAAGCAUAGACAGUAUGCAGAGCCCAGCUGCAGACACAGGGAAACCUAAAACCAGAAAAUAGCUCUUGUAGGGUUUGAUCAUAUAUUAUGUUGAGUAAUACAGUAGCAGAAUAGAACUAAAGUGCUCUGAAAUUAUUCUGCAGUUAUCUUUAAAGGGACAAGUCACACCGCAGAAACUUCAGCAGUGGCCCUGAACAUCUCAAGUAGUUGCUUUUUGAACUGAACUGUGUUCAGUCACUGCCAUGAAACAUCUCUCACUCCCAUGAGAAGAAUGACAACAAUAUUUAACUGCAGUGUGAAGGUAGCCAGUGUCCUGUACAAACUGAAGCUUGUUGUGGGAAACGCAUGGAAAUCCUCACUUCACAUAAAGCAAGUAAGACAAACAGAAAGAAAAGGAAAGAAACAAAAGGCCUCACUGUUUACACUGCAAUGAUAAUUUAAACACAAUGCAUUCUAUAAUAUGAAAAAUACAGAUUUCGUUGCAAAAUCUUGAACCUUUGGUUAUAUUCUGACUGUAUAUCAGAACAUGACCUGUAUUAUUGAAGUGACUCCCAACCCACCACUGCCUCUCACUCAUACAGUACAUCAACCCUGUGAACUCUGUAAAUAUUAAAACAACAACGACAUCUUGCAUUUUGAAGACUUAUAUAACCUGGGUGACAAAUGAACCUGCUUAGAAUACAUAUUUUAUCGCUGUAGUUUCUUCUCUACCUUCAGCUUGUGCUCCUUCCUGUUGACAAUCACAGCAGUAAUCUGCUGGUCCAUGAAGACCAGUAUGGUGACCAGCAGGGCAGGAAGGGCCGACACCAGGUAAACCCACCAGGGGUUUCCUCCGAACGGGGGAACAAACCAGCCCCGGUUUGGACUUGUUGGCUGUGAGGGAGGAAGACAGAAGCUCCAACAUGUCAGUCAACUAGAUAAAGUGGCAUUGACAGAAACUGUUAUGGAAAUAUGAUGUUUGCUUUUGACAUGUAGACAGGAGGAGCCGGGGAUUAAACCAACAACCCUACAUUUUAUUGGCAUUCCUUCUUCCACCUAAGCUAGGGUUGUAGCUUCCUGCCUUUAAAACCACUGGUUUCAGUUUGUUUCCCUAUGGUAUGGAUACUCCAGUGAUUAAAAUGUAAACCACCACAACCAA